GAGUUUGAAGACGUUUUUAGAAAGAAGUGCAACACCGCUGCAGCUGCAAAAGAGAGGGAGACGGCGUGGAGAACACUGCUGCCCGGAUCAAUGCGUAAGUUUAAAUGUAGUCCUUUGUAAUCGUAAUAAUAUUACAGGGAAUAACUGUCUGAAUGGUAGCCUAGUAAGUUAUUUCAUUUAGGUGGAAUCCCGCGGGGGAGAAGCGCACGGGGCAGCAGCUUAAGAUGAAAUAUAAAAACAUUGUUCAAACAGGUCAGACCUCGGCAUUAUUUCAUGGAGGUACUUCAUGUUGAUCAUGUUUUACAUUGUAAAGUAGCCUAAAUAUUAAGUGGCUGUUUGACUGUGCAGUUGUUUUAUCCACACAAAGCCUAAAUGUCUGCAUCCAUAUCAUGUCCUGUUAAAUAAUUAAGCCUAUUUAAACUAACGCAAACUUCUGCUCAGCCAACAGAAAGAAAGCAGAUGCCUGUAAAACGGGUGGAAUAAAAGGUCAUGGAUGCACACACACACACACACACACACACACACACACACACACACACACAUAUAUGAUUAUUUAGUUCUCUUUUGUGUCUUUUUUUGUCUUUUGGCUCCUCCUUCACACCACAAGAGACCUUGUAAUUUUAAGUAGGCAACACUCCAAAGAUUUAUCCAAAUGGUAGUUUAAGUGUACUGAAACAUGUCACUGAUCUUGGAUGAAGAGGAUGAAACUGUGUCUGCUGCCUUUACAGAGGGGGAUCCAGAAAGGCAUACAGAGAGCAUGGCUGGACAGCAGCAGGAUGGUCCCUCAACUUCCACUGCACAGACUGACAGUGAGAUGGAUGUUCAGGAAACACCAGAGGUUCAUUCUGUGGAAUUCAUGUGCAACUGUAUAAUUUAAUGUCCUCUAUGUAUUCCCAGUUAUCACUAAAACAGAUUUACAAACUGCAUUUGCUGAGAAAAAUCCAAAAAACAGAUUAGGAUGGCAGAUCUGGAAAUUGAAACACUGGAGCACAAGUUAGAGGUGGUGAUGGUCACAGGUGAAUUAUGUUAACUAUUGGAACAUGAACUGAACUCUCUCUUUUAUUUGUAGGAAAUAAAGAAGAGCAAAUGAAA